AAAAGCCGGGGGAGCGAACAGGAUUAGAUACCCCUGGUUAGUCCCCGGCCGUUAAACCGAUGGGUACUAGGGUGUAGGGGGGUACUGACCCCCCUUUUUGCCCGCAGUUAACGCAUUAAGUACCCCGCCUGGGGAGUACGCGCGCAAGCCGUGAAACUCAAAGGAAUUGACCGGGGCCCCGCACAAGGCGGUGGAGCCAUGUGGAUCAAUUGGGACGCAACGCGAAGAACCUUACCGGGGUUUGACAUGUACCGGACCGUCAUGGAAACAUGGCUUCUCUUCGGAGCCGGUGCACAGGUGCUGCAUGGCUGUCGUCAGCUCGUGUCGUGAGAUGUUGGGUUAAGUCCCGCAACGAGCGCAACCCUCGUCGCCUGUUGCCAUCAGGUUAUGCUGGGCACUCUGGCGAGACUGCCCGCGAUAUGCGGGAGGAAGGCGGGGAUGACGUCAAGUCCUCAUGGUCCUUAACAUCCCGGGCUUCAGCA
rnacentral:rRNA from 1 species